rnacentral:sRNA from 1 species
UGUCCUUGGGAUAAGAUGGUAUUUCACGC